GGAGUAGAAGUCGUAACAAGGUUUCCGUAGGUGAACCUGCGGAAGGAUCAUUAUUGUAUAACCGAGGUGCGAGGGCUGUCGCUGACCCGAAAGGUCGUGCACGCCCGAGUGCCCUCACACACAUCCAUCUCACCCCUAUGUGCACCACCGCGUGGGUCCCCCUUUGGCUUGUUCGGAGGGGGGCUUACGUUUUCACACAAACUUUGUAUGCAGUGUAGAAUGUAUUUUUUGUUUUUGCGAUCACGCAAUCAAUACAACUUUCAACAACGGAUCUCUUGGCUCUC
rnacentral:misc_RNA from 1 species